CUUUCUUCUUGCUUAAUAAUUGAUCGCCUUGGUUGAGUUGUUGAGCCGCUAAUGUAAUGAAGUAUUUUCACAAAUUGAAGUGGUUGCAGUUGUGAUUUCAAUGGAGUUUAGUUUUUAGCCAUGAAAAUUAAGCAGAAAAUACUAAUGAAUAUAUUAAUGUUCGUUUAUAUGUUCGUAGAAAAAUAAAUGAAUAUAUUAAUGUUCGUCUAUAUGUUCGUAGAAAAAUAAAUGAACAUAUUAAUGUUCGUCAAUAUGUUCGCAGGAAAACAAAUGAACAUAUUAAUGUUCGUCAAUAUGUUCGUAGGAAAACAAAUGAACAUACUAAUGUUCACUUAUUAUGUUCAUCGACGGAUCAGGUCCUAAAAUGGAAAGAGAGGAAUUUUCGGUAUUUGUUUAAUGGGAUCCCAGAAUUCGCUGGAUUUGAGUGGACAUAUUUGCCAUUUUCAGAUUAAAUAAAUAUAAUUAAUUAGUACUCCCUCCGUCCCGCCCAAGAUGCUACAUAUUUCUUUUUGGGCCGU
rnacentral:lncRNA from 1 species